CCCCCCCUUUUUUUUUUCCCUAAUAGAAGCUCAACUCAGCCUAAAUUCCAAUGUAGCUUGGGUCAGCCAAAUCUCUCAUUUUCCUCCACUUUACUUCGUGUAGGUAAGCCUUGAUAAACCAUUAAAUGAAUUUAUUUUGGAUAUUCCUUCCUUAGGAAUUGGCAAAAAAAAAUUGUAUUCUCCUACAACUGCACUCUGGACAACAUUCAUGGCCAAUAAUAAAAAUAAUCCCUACGGCUCUACAAUGAUAGUAGAAGCCAAUAUAAGAAUGUAACAAUGGUUUAGGCAUUCAUCCAUUACCAAUGGAUUCAGGAUGACAACUAAAUACUGCUGUUAUCUCACAGAUAAGCCACAUACUCUGAAAACAUGAAAACAGGAAGAAGAGAGUAAAACAAAAUAAUAUAUA
rnacentral:misc_RNA from 1 species